GCUUAGAUAGCUUAAAUAAAGCGUUAACUUGUGGCGUUGAAGAUGUCUUGCCAAGGCUCUAGGUA
rnacentral:tRNA from 1 species